rnacentral:rRNA from 1 species
GACGAACGCUGGCGGCGUGCUUAACACAUGCAAGUCGAACGGAAAGGCCCUGCUUUUGUGGGGUGCUCGAGUGGCGAACGGGUGAGUAACACGUGAGUAACCUGCCCUUGACUUUGGGAUAACUUCAGGAAACUGGGGCUAAUACCGGAUAGGAGCUCCUGCUGCAUGGUGGGGGUUGGAAAGUUUCGGCGGUUGGGGAUGGACUCGCGGCUUAUCAGCUUGUUGGUGGGGUAGUGGCUUACCAAGGCUUUGACGGGUAGCCGGCCUGAGAGGGUGACCGGCCACAUUGGGACUGAGAUACGGCCCAGAGUCCUACGGGAGGCAGCAGUGGGGAAUAUUGCACAAUGGGAGGAAGCCUGAUGCAGCAACGCCGCGUGCGGGAUGACGGCCUUCGGGUUGUAAACCGCUUUCGCCUGUGACGAAGCGUGAGUGACGGUAAUGGGUAAAGAAGCACCGGCUAACUACGUG